GACGAACGCUGGCGGCGUGCUUAACACAUGCAAGUCGAGCGGUAAGGCCCCUUCGGGGGUACGACGAGCGGCGAACGGGUGAGUAACACGUGGGUGACCUGCCCUCAGCUCUGGGAUAAGCCUGGGAAACUGGGUCUAAUACCGGAUAUGACUCCAUGACGCAUGUCGUGGGGUGGAAAGCCUUGUGCGGCUGGGGAUGGGCCCGCGGCCUAUCAGCUUGUUGGUGGGGUGAUGGCCUACCAAGGCGACGACGGGUAGCCGGCCUGAGAGGGCGACCGGCCACACUGGGACUGAGACACGGCCCAGACUCCUACGGGAGGCAGCAGUGGGGAAUCUUGCGCAAUGGGCGAAAGCCUGACGCAGCGACGCCGCGUGAGGGAUGACGGCCUGG
rnacentral:rRNA from 1 species